AGGCAUCGACGGUUGUUGCAGUGGCAUGCCAGGUGGCAUCGCUCCUACGACGGGUGUGGCACAGUAUCCUCGUGGCGUCACCACGUGGCAGAUACAAGCCCUGCGGGCUGGACUUCCCUAACGAGCGCCAACGCACGCCACGACAACAGAAAGGGUAAGACCGAGCUGCCGGAGAGAGAUAGAGAGAGAGAGAGAGAGAGAGAGGGGCGAGAGGGACGGUAGAGAACAUGCCGACGACCGUCGCGUUUCUACCCCCUGUCUUCGUUACUCUCGUGACCGCGGCCUCCUCCUCCGUUUCGCUGUCUCUCUGCUGCCGUCCGUCGGCGUCUUUACGUUCCCCUUCCGGUUCCCCCUUUGAACCCUCGAAGCCCCGGUUGCCCAUCAUCGUCGCCUGCACCGCCGCUCCCUUCAAUGAAUUCGAGGCCAAGGUCAGAGCCCAGAAGCAAUUGUGCAAGACUUUCUUGUACAGGCUAUCUGUCAGCAUCGUCAACUGCCAUUCACAUAAGCUAGGAUCUUGUUUCAAAAGAACGACCUGUUGGAUUAUCUAAGAUCACAGCAACCUGAGAAAGUAGCUGAAUUUUCAGAAUCAACCUGCCUGGGGGUGGAAGAAACUAUUCACUGUGAUGGUGCCUUAAAUGUUGGAAAAGAUGAAUGUGCAGAAGUUGUCGAGAACACUUGGAUUCAGUUUCAGCCUCUCGUAUCAGUCCCAUGGGAUUCUCUUGCAUGCCUUCUUUUCUGGUGCAUGCUCUUGGGCCACCACCUUAGAGGCCUCGAGUACCUGUUGGAGCUCAUGCAACUUUUCAGAGAGUCUGUCAAAGUAGAAACUAUAUCCCAAGAAGGUGACAAUGAUGCUCGAGAGCUUCAGACGACUCUAAUUUUUUCGGUUUGCCGAAGAAGACUGUUUGAUGAGCCAAGUAUGACCCUUAUUCGGCAGGGAUGAAGGUUUGAUUGCGCUUAAACUGGUAACAAAUUUGGCAGCUGAAAUUAACUCCGAAAGAGAGUGGCCAUAUAGCAACUCUCAGAUCAAAAAGCCUUGCCUAGUAAUCGGACAUCAAAGCUGCAAUUUUUUGCUCUCUAUCAAUGAGUAGAUUAAUUGCUCAAGUACAUUUAGUGUUUUCCAUUUAAUUUUCAAGGCGGGCCAGGUAAUGAUGGAUACUUCAUUUCUGUCGAUAUUUCGUGAAGUCCUUAUCAACUCGAAGCAGUUGUCAUAUAUUGUACAUGUUUUGUGUUUUAUGGAUGCAAAACGACAUAUGCACCCUAAAGACCAACUUCACGCAUGUCUAGUCAUUUUCUUCUUUUUUUCUCAUUUUGGUGCUUCUAUCUGUGUGCAGACGUCUUUGUCGGAUUCUCCCAGCGUUUAGUCAGUCCUUCCACUCGACAACUGGAGAGCUGCCCGAGUGUUAAUGCUUGUCUCCCGGCAUGAAGUUGGGUGCGUUUGUCUGGGAUGUCAUGAUUGCAUGCAGCGCAGUGGGAGCAAUUGUCCCAUGACGAUCUUUUCGGGCCAAUCACUCUUGCAGCUCACGAGCGGGACAGAGGGAGAAGAAGAGAAAGAGAAGGGGUCGGAAUCGUCUUACCAAAUGCACUCUAGUUGUUUGUUUGUCCAGGGAUUCAAUGAGGAGGAGCGAGCACAAAGAGAGGGG